rnacentral:lncRNA from 1 species
GUCAGACCUGGAUUAGCCUUCCCAUGCACAUGGUCGUACAUUGUGACUCCAUGUUCCUGUUGGUUAAGGUUCUAAAUACAAAACUGGCACUUAUGGAUGAAGAAGGGAAAGGAGAUGGAGACAAAGUCAGGGAGUCAAAAUGCCUGUGGCAGAACAGUGGCAACUCUUAGGAUGGCUGUGACACAGGAAGAGUCAAGGAAACACGAGAAGGAAAGCAACGUCCCUGUCUGGGAAUCUGCCUGGAAGUCAAAAACUUCAACUCAGCUGCUGAAAUUGGAACCACCCCUGGAGAUAGCGCUUGUCUCCUUAGAGACAAGCAAGGGUAGUGGUGUUUGCUUAGGACCAGAAGGGGCUGGCAUUUGCUUAGGACGCGGAGGGGCUGCAGUUUAACUGCAUAGCCACUCCUGUCUUACCCCCAAACCCAAAAGAUGUUCCUCAUGAAACCUUGGCAAUUUCAUUUAAUAGAGGAAAUCCUUAAAAAAAAAAAAAAAAGA